UGCUCCUUGGUGUAAAAAACAUUUCUGGUUUGCACUCAGAAGAUGGGAGUAAUUCUCUCAGGAGCAA
rnacentral:tRNA from 1 species